UAAAGGUUUAAAUGAGUUUAGGUUCUCGAGCUCUCGUCUAAUAUUCUAUUCUCCAAAGUUUCAUUAUUGGAGGUUGUGCUUUUGUUUAGUAUUAAACUGUUUUGUUUGAGGAGAUUGAUUCUUAUUCAUGAGUGUUGUUUUGAAACACGAAAAUGGUGGUCUAGCAGAAAUAAAACAAAACGGAGAAUGGUCUCACAUGAUAUCACUGUCAAGCGGAGAAUCUGAGGAACUAAAUGAUGAUUGGCAAAGACAAGCAUCAGGGCUGCUCGUCUCAAUUCCGACAACAUUUGUUGUUUUUUUUUUGGUUCGUUUCUUUAGAGUUGUUGUUAGAAUUCCAGAGUGAUUCAAAGACUUCGUCAUGGCUGAACCUGCAAAUUGAAGGAUUUAAAAUGUUUGGUGAGAGUUUAUUUUUAUUUGCAUUGGAUUUUCUUUAUUUGGUUUGAAUGAUUGUUAAAUAGUUUUGUGUGUUUCUUACAUUGGGAUUCUUUGAUGGUGACUUUGCCCAUAGUGUAUGUAUAUUCUAGACCUCCAGCCUGGACCAUUUCGAGCAAAGUGUUAGUAUAUAUUAUCUUUCUUUGGAAGUAAGUUUAGAAGUUUACCGUUGGUGUUUGGUAGUUCAUUGUAGAUUUCCUUGUAGACUAUAUUUCUAACUCCACCUGUUUGUGGGUCUUCUCCUUGUAGAAUGGUUAGGCCAUUAGGUGCGGUAACUCUAGAAAGAGCAACGUAGAGUUGUCCAUGGCUGAAAACCGGAUUUGGUAAAUAGAGGACAACUGUUUUCAAGCUUUAUCCUUGACUUUUGUUAAUCGUCAUGGUGUAGCAAACUCUUACUGGAAACUGUCGUCUCCGAAGUGUGAAUGGAUGGUCUGUUUGUGUUUGUGACAAAAUGAUCCUUGGAGCAUUAUAGGGACUCCUUUUUUAGGCUGAUUUUGUGCUUUGGCAAACCUGGAAACUCUAAAUACUCUACCGGGUAAAGUGCUUCAUAAUCUGCUCCAUCUGUGUCUGCUUUUCCAAUGCUAUCUGAGCUGAAGUAUUCUUUUGAUUCUCCUUUAACCUUAGAUAACAUGUAUGCAUUUAUAUCAUCUACAUACUCAUUCCGUGGAGUGAGGAUUGCUCGUUCUGUCAAGUAUUCAAAGGUGGUCUGGGAGAUUUUAUUUCCUGGAUAUGCUGCCUCAGUGAUUAGUUGGAGGAAUUCCAUAAAUAUGAGUGGCUUAUAGCUGCAAGUACCGUAUCUGCUCUUGUUCCAUGUGGUAUGACCGGUAGUAUCUGCCUAAAAACUCCUCCAAGAAUUACGGUUUUCCCACCAAAUGGUUUUUCGCUUGCUAAACAUUCUUCAGUGGAGAGCAAGUCUCUUAAUGUUCUAUCUAGUGCCUCAAAUGUGUGGCGAUGUGACAUCAGUGCUUCGUCCCAUAUCAUCAAAUCUGUUUUGAUUAGUUGCACCGCAAGCAUUGUUCCUUUCUUAAUAUCACAUAUUGAAUCUUCAGGAACAAUUAGGGUUUUCACAAAUAAUAAAAGCCGCUUCUUCCUCUUCUUUAGUUCAACGCUUCUUCUUUAUUUCUUCUUCAUGUUUCUAUCUUUCUACUUCAUUAUGGUUCGAUGUUGCUAUUUUGCUACCAUCUAAAGAUACCCCUUUUUGCUAACUAUGAAGUCAGGUAUACCUUUUUUGCAUCUCUCUCUUCCUCACUUUGCAUCUCUCUCCUCCUGAUCUAUUAUUUUCUGAUUUUAUAGCAAAGAUUUCAAAGAAAAAGAAGAUCUUGGCAAAUCCGCUGGUUUCUCUAUCCCACCGCCACCGCUUCACCUUAUCCCACCGCCACCGCCACCGCCAUUCCUCCGCUGUCUUUUAACUACAACGCAGCUCUUCUAAUUGAUGAAAUCCAGAUUGCUAAAGAAAAGGCACAAGAGUUCUCUACUCAAUAGUGUUGAUAAUGGUGCUUCUUAUGAUUAUAGUGACAGAUCUAGUAUUUAGCUCAUCUGGUUUGUUCUUUCAAAGAGAAGAUGUAUUGAAAGCAACGAUGUUUGUCUAUUUUGGUUUAGGUUGAUAUUGUAGAUAUUUAAUUUU